UACGGAGGGUGCAAGCGUUGUCCGGAAUCAUUGGGUGUAAAGGGUGCGUAGGCGGCUGUUUAAGUCAGUGGUGAAAGACUCCGGCUCAACCGGGGCAGUGCCAUUGAUACUGGACAGCUUGAGUGUUGGAGGGGUACAUGGAAUUGAUGGUGUAGCGGUGAAAUGCAUAGAUACCAUCAGGAACACCGAUAGCGAAGGCAUUGUACUGGCCAACAACUGACGCUGGUGCACGAAAGCAUGGGUAGCGAACAGG
rnacentral:misc_RNA from 1 species